rnacentral:rRNA from 1 species
UACAGAGGUCUCAAGCGUUGUUCGGAUUCAUUGGGCGUAAAGGGUGCGUAGGUGGCCCGUUAAGUCGGGUGUGAAAUCUCGGAGCUUAACUCCGAAAUUGCAUUCGAUACUGCCGUGCUUGAGGACUGGAGAGGAGACUGGAAUUCAUGGUGUAGCAGUGAAAUGCGUAGAGAUCAUGAGGAAGACCAGUGGCGAAGGCGGGUCUCUGGACAGUUCCUGACACUGAGACACGAAGGCCAGGGGAGCAAACGGG